rnacentral:rRNA from 1 species
UGAUCCUGCCGGUAUCUCAUCUCUUAGUUAAAAGAUUAAUCCAUGCAUGUGUUUGGCACGGUUAUAGUGCCUGCGAACGGCUCAUUAAAACAGAAGUAACCUUUUCUCAUCAAAUGACGGAUAACUUUGCUAAUUGUGAGGCUAAUACGUGAAACUAUGUUUAGCUCCAUCAUUCUUGAAGUAAUCAACACGAAAGUAUUUUGGAUACUUAGACCUUGUGUCAAAUGAGAAUGGUCUUCUGAUCUAUCAGCUGUGGACGGUUGUGUAUUGGACAACCGUGGCUUUAACGGAUAACGGGGAAUUAGGGUUCGAUUCCGGAGAGAACGCAUUAGAGACGGCGUUCACAGCUAAGGUUGGCAGCAGGAGCGAAAACUUUUCGAAUAAGCAAAGCUUGAAAAGUUGACUAUCCGUAGCAACAACUGCUAAUGUAGUUGAUUGAAAUGGGAAACCCUUAAAAACGGUUUCGAGUAGCAAGUUCAGGGCAAGUC